rnacentral:rRNA from 1 species
AUACGGGGGGUGCAAGCGUUAUUCGGAUUUAUUGGGCGUAAAGAGCGCGUAGGCGGCUUGGUAAGUCAGAUGUGAAAGCCCGGGGCUCAACCCCGGAAGUGCAUUUGAAACUAUCAGGCUUGAGUAUGGGAGAGGGAAGUGGAAUUCCUGGUGUAGAGGUGAAAUUCGUAGAUAUCAGGAGGAACACCGGUGGCGAAGGUGACUUCCUGGACCAAUACUGACGCUGAGGCGCGAAGGCGUGGGGAGCAAACAGGAUUAGAAACCCCAGUAGUCC